CUCAUUCGGGGUGAUCGCAUACACGUGUACCUAUAAGACCCAAAUAAGCCGAACCGACGACAGAGAACAUUUUCGAAUUUGUGCGGUGUAAAUGCUGUCAGGACUAACGCACAUGUCUUGUACCUGGCUCGUAUGGCAUUGACCCUUUACACGGUCCUGCUCUCCCGUCGCCAACUGCCAUCUGCAGGAUACGAAGAAUACCAAUAGCAUCAGGCAUUGUGUCGCUGAGCGUCGUCAGAUAAAUGAAAAAAAAGCCUACCGGAAAUCAACCGAGUUGAUGGUCCCACUAUGUCCACC